GCCUGGGUGGCUCAGUCGGUUAAGCGUCUGACUUCGGCUCAGGUCAUGAUCUCAGGGCUUGUGGGUUUGAGCCCCGCAUCAGGCU
rnacentral:tRNA from 1 species